UUAAGAUUCAAACGCACACAGCAAUAAAUCUUAUGGAGAAUCUCUAUUAAUCCAUUUAAAACCUAAAACUGGCUACAUCAAAAGUGUUUGGGCAGUUUGCAAAUCCUAAAGAUGAUUUACAAGCAAACUGACAAACCGAAUAAGCCCAGGACACUGGAAAAUACUUGAAAAACAUGGAUGUUCCUCAACAGAUUGGUUCUGUGGACUGUGGUGCGUUCAUGUUGAUUGUUGUCACGGAUCGGGGAAGCAGGAACAGGAAGACGGAGAAUCGGGAAACAAAGGAUUUAUUGGGGAAACCAGCUAGGAACACGGGGCAAUAGAAGUAGCGACUUAAAUGACAGGACUGGGGAAACAUAUUUUGACGCGGAGUUAAAUACGCGGAGC